GGCCAAACGUGAGUGGCACUGUGACCCCAUGCACCAGGUUACAAUGCUCAAAGUGGAGACCCGGGGCAGCCACACAGGACAGGAGCUGCCAGUUCAAUGGGAAAAAGAAACUAGACAACCAGCUAUGCAUGUGACUUUGCCCUUUCCCCCACAGAGGCAAACCAACCUGUCACCAACAGUAAAGACUGCAGCUUGAUUUUCAAAGACCCGGAUGUCUUCUGGCCCAAAUUUGAGAAACAGGAGAAGCUAGGGCAUCAUAACAUUGUAUCUAGGAGAUUUUCUUCUGCAACUCUGCAGCCAAGCUAGCAGAGGAAGCACAAGCUAAUGAAGAAACCCAACUCCCAGAGCUACACUUGCCUUAUUGACAACAUUCGGAAGGAUCUGAUGACAGGAAUGGAAGGCAAGGCAAAAUCCUAAAGGACAAGAGUAGAACUGGUUGCAAAAAAGGUUAUCAAGGAGCAACUAUACACAGUGCCUAGUAACAAUGAAAUUUGACAAAGGAACAAGUGGGGAAGAAGUGGAGGGGAAAGAAUCAAGCCCACGUCUACUAUGAAGUGUGUGUUUGUUUUAAUAUAC